AGCAAGAUAUGAGCUUGUUUUAAGUAAAUAAUUCCUUAAUUUUGAUUUAAAAGAACAACUAUUUCCACUGGCAAAUUGUUUCACUUACCAGACAUUUUCCCAUAAGUGAAAUAAUCUACCAGAGGAACGAGGAACCUUUUCAUCAACAUCAAUGAAUUGUUUUCUUAAAUCAUACUUGUAUAUCCUGCUGAAAAGUGGCUUGUAAGUUAGUUUUGUCUCAUUUCUAUUGUACUAAGAUAUCUGCAGUAGAAAGUAGAGCAAAAAUGCUUGGUAAGAUUUUGUGUUUUUGUAGUGUAGAGUUGAAGAUGAUGCUUUGAGACACAAGAACACACCGGUGGUGGCAACAUCAUGCUGAGGGAAAACAAGGCUCGAGAAAGAUCUCAGCCCUAUUCAGAACUCAUGAACUAUGCCUGAAAGGUCAAUUUCAAGGUCAUUCUAGGCCAAUGACAGAAAAUAUUCAUAAUAAAGAAGACGGGUCAAAAGUCCAGCCAGCAUCAUGCAGGAAGUUUGAAUGCUACAGGAAGUGUGAUUUCUCUGCAACUUACUCAGGGACAAUUAACCAAAUAUUUAAGCAUGUUUGUAUAUUUUGAAUAUAUAAUUAAAUUAAAACUAGGGCUGGGCGAUAAAUCAGUUUUAUUGUUAAUUGAAUUAUCUGGUUUUGAAGAUGUAAUUUUCACCAUUGGGUUUCCAUGGUUUAGAGUGAUGUCAGCACGCCCAGGGCGGCCAUCUUGUUUGACUAGUUUGUUUCAUUUACUUUGAAUUCAGAUCAACUUACUGAAGGAAUGACUAAAAUAAGUUUUUUUG